GGCGGCAUGGCCGAGUGGCGAGGCGCCGGACUGCAAAUCCGUUAACCCCGGUUCGAUUCCGGGUGCCGCCU
rnacentral:tRNA from 1 species